UACGGGGGGGGCAAGCGUUGUUCGGAAUUACUGGGCGUAAAGGGCUCGUAGGCGGCCAACUAAGUCGGAUGUGAAAUCCCCAGGCUUAACCUGGGAAUUGCAUCCGAUACUGGAUGGCUUGAAUCCGGGAGAGGGCUGUGGAAUUCCAGGUGUAGCGGUGAAAUGCGUAGAUAUCUGGAGGAACACCGGUGGCGAAGGCAGCCUUCUGGGCCAACACUGACGCUCAUGCACGAAAGCGUGGGGAGCAAACAGG
rnacentral:rRNA from 1 species